UCUGUAACUGUGUGUGUGUGUGUGUGUGUGUGUGUGACUGCCUCACACACACACACACACACACAGUUACAGACA